rnacentral:rRNA from 1 species
GAUGAACGCUGGCGGCGUGCCUAAUACAUGCAAGUAGAACGCUGAAGGAAGGAGCUUGCUCUUUCCGGAUGAGUUGCGGACGGGUGAGUAACGCGUAGGUAACCUGCCUGGUAGCGGGGGAUAACUAUUGGAAACGAUAGCUAAUACCGCAUAACAGUAGAUGUUGCAUGAUAUCUACUUAAAAGGUGCAAUUGCACCACUACCAGAUGGACCUGCGUUGUAUUAGCUAGUUGGUGAGGUAACGGCUCACCAAGGCGACGAUACAUAGCCGACCUGAGAGGGUGAUCGGCCACACUGGGACUGAGACACGGCCCAGACUCCUACGGGAGGCAGCAGUAGGGAAUCUUCGGCAAUGGACGGAAGUCUGACCGAGCAACGCCGCGUGAGUGAAGAAGGUUUUCGGAUCGUAAAGCUCUGUUGUAAGAGAAGAACGAGUGUGAGAGUGGAAAGUUCACACUGUGACGGUAUCUUACCAGAAAGGGACGGCUAACUACGUG